UCUGUGAUAGCUCCUGCAGUGUCUCUUCCACUUGUGUGGAAGUUUGAAGUUGACUGCUGGAAUGGGCAUGGAGAGCUAGCAAUUCAUAAGAGAGCAGUGGUUUCUGUGCUUGUGGAAUUAACACUUGAGUGUGUGUGUGUGUGCAAGUGUGUUCCCGCACAGGCAGCGGGAUCAGUGAAUACACAAGGGGAUCCCAGGCCACGAGUGCUGCGAGGAAAAGCCCUGUCUGCGGGCUGAUGGACGCCCUCGCGUGGAUGGAGGGGACUUACCCGGUGUUGGUGGGCCAGGGAGGAUCUAUCUGAGGAGGCGAUUUUGGACGGAGUGACUGGAAGGCUCUAGCAUUGCGAGACUGGAGAAAGAAGCUCCCAGCGCAGAGGCGGUGAGAGAGUCCGGAGUUUGGGUGCCUCGGGGCCAGGAGGAGAGCAGGGGGCGUGCGGCUGGCAGAGGUGAGAGCAGCAGUAGGAGGGGUUGUGAGAGAGGAUGUGCCAGCCCGGG